rnacentral:tRNA from 1 species
UAUGUUUUAGUAUAUGAUGUACAGAAAUUUUUGAUAUUUCUAGAGAUAGUUUAAUUCUAUUAAAUGUAA